rnacentral:rRNA from 1 species
CAGCAGCCGCGGUAAUGCGUAGGGUGCAAGCGUUAAUCGGAAUUACUGGGCGUAAAGCGUGCGCAGGCGGCUUGUUAAGACAGAUGUGAAAUCCCCGGGCUCAACCUGGGAACUGCAUUUGUGACUGGCAAGCUAGAGUGUGGCAGAGGGGGGUGGAAUUCCGCGUGUAGCAGUGAAAUGCGCAGAUAUGCGGAGGAACACCGAUGGCGAAGGCAGCCCCCUGGGCCAACACUGACGCUCAUGCACGAAAGCGUGGGGAGCAAACAGGAUUAGAUACCCCGGUAGUCCCUGUCUCUUAUAC